GAUGAACGCUGGCGGCGUGCUUAACACAUGCAAGUCGAACGGAAAGACCCUGCUUUUGCUGCGUGCUCGAGUGGCGCACGCGUGAGUAACACGCGUGUAUCCCCUCCUUGACUUUCUGAUAUCUUCUGGAAACUCGGGCUCAUAUCGGAUAGGAUCUCUUGCACCAUGUUGUUGGUUGGUAAAAUACGGCGGUUGUGUAUCGACUCGCGGCUUAUCAGCUUGUUGGUGGAGUAGUGGCUUACCAAGGCUUUGACGGGUAGCCGGCCUGAGAGGGUGACCGGCCACAUUGAGACUGAGGGAGGGCCCAGACUCGUACGGGAGGCAACAGUGGGGAAUAUUGCAGAAUGGGCGGAAGCCUGAUGCAGCAACGCCGCGGGCGGGAUAACGGCCUUCGGGUUGUAAACCGAUUUCGUAUGUAACGAAGCGUGAGUGACGGUAAUGUGUAAAGAAGCACCGGCUAACUACGUG
rnacentral:rRNA from 1 species